rnacentral:rRNA from 1 species
GACGAACGCUAGCGGCGUGCUUAACACAUGCAAGUCGAACGGAAAGGCCCUGCUUUUGUGGGGUGCUCGAGUGGCGAACGGGUGAGUAACACGUGAGUAACCUGCCCUUGACUUUGGGAUAACUUCAGGAAACUGGGGCUAAUACCGGAUAGGAGCUCCUGCUGCAUGGUGGGGGUUGGAAAGUUUCGGCGGUUGGGGAUGGACUCGCGGCUUAUCAGCUUGUUGGUGGGGUAGUGGCUUACCAAGGCUUUGACGGGUAGCCGGCCUGAGAGGGUGACCGGCCACAUUGGGACUGAGAUACGGCCCAGACUCCUACGGGAGGCAGCAGUGGGGAAUAUUGCACAAUGGGCGGAAGCCUGAUGCAGCAACGCCGCGUGCGGGAUGACGGCCUUCGGGUUGUAAACCGCUUUCGCCUGUGACGAAGCGUGAGUGACGGUAAUGGGUAAAGAAGCACCGGCUAACUACGUGCCAGCAGCCGCGGUGAUACGUAGGGUGCGAGCGUUGUCCGGAUUUAUUGGGCGUAAAGGGCUCGUAGGUGGUUGAUCGCGUCGGAAGUGUAAUCUUGGGGCUUAACCCUGAGCGUGCUUUCGAUACGGGUUGACUUGAGGAAGGUAGGGGAGAAUGGAAUUCCUGGUGGAGCGGUGGAAUGCGCAGAUAUCAGGAGGAACACCAGUGGCGAAGGCGGUUCUCUGGGCCUUUCCUGACGCUGAGGAGCGAAAGCGUGGGGAGCGAACAGGCUUAGAUACCCUGGUAGUCCACGCUGUAAACGGUGGGUACUAGGUGUGGGGUCCAUUCCACGGGUUCCGUGCCGUAGCUAACGCUUUAAGUACCCCGCCUGGGGAGUACGGCCGCAAGGCUAAAACUCAAAGGAAUUGACGGGGCCCCGCACAAGCGGCGGAGCAUGCGGAUUAAUUCGAUGCAACGCGUAGAACCUUACCUGGGUUUGACAUGGAUCGGGAGUGCUCAGAGAUGGGUGUGCCUCUUUUGGGGUCGGUUCACAGGUGGUGCAUGGCUGUCGUCAGCUCGUGUCGUGAGAUGUUGGGUUAAGUCCCGCAACGAGCGCAACCCUUGUUCACUGUUGCCAGCACGUUAUGGUGGGGACUCAGUGGAGACCGCCGGGGUCAACUCGGAGGAAGGUGGGGAUGACGUCAAGUCAUCAUGCCCCUUAUGUCCAGGGCUUCACGCAUGCUACAAUGGCUGGUACAGAGAGUGGCGAGCCUGUGAGGGUGAGCGAAUCUCGGAAAGUCGGUCUCAGUUCGGAUUGGGGUCUGCAACUCGACCUCAUGAAGUCGGAGUCGCUAGUAAUCGCAGAUCAGCAACGCUGCGGUGAAUACGUUCCCGGGGCU